rnacentral:rRNA from 1 species
UUUUAUGGAGAGUUUGAUCCUGGCUCAGGAUGAACGCUGGCGGCGUGCCUAAUACAUGCAAGUCGAGCGAACGGACGAGAAGCUUGCUUCUCUGAUGUUAGCGGCGGACGGGUGAGUAACACGUGGAUAACCUACCUAUAAGACUGGGAUAACUUCUGGAAACCGGAGCUAAUACCGGAUAAUAUUUUGAACCGCAUGGUUCAAAAGUGAAAGACGGUCUUGCUGUCACUUAUAGAUGGAUCCGCGCUGCAUUAGCUAGUUGGUAAGGUAACGGCUUACCAAGGCAACGAUGCAUAGCCGACCUGAGAGGGUGAUCGGCCACACUGGAACUGAGACACGGUCCAGACUCCUACGGGAGGCAGCAGUAGGGAAUCUUCCGCAAUGGGCGAAAGCCUGACGGAGCAACGCCGCGUGAGUGAUGAAGGUCUUCGGAUCGUAAAACUCUGUUAUUAGGGAAGAACAUAUGUGUAAG